rnacentral:rRNA from 1 species
GUGGGGAAUCUUCCGCAAUGGACGAAAGUCUGACGGAGCAACGCCGCGUGAGGGAAGACGGCCUUCGGGUUGUAAACCUCUUUUGUACGGGAAGAAGGAAGUGACGGUACUGUACGAAUAAGUCCCGGCUAACUACGUGCCAGCAGCCGCGGUAAUACGUAGGGGACGAGCGUUGUCCGGAAUUACUGGGCGUAAAGGGCGCGCAGGCUGUGCUGCAAGUCAGCUGGGAAAUGUCUGGGCUUAACCCGGGCAUGCGGUUGAGACUGCAGUGGUGGAGUGCUGUAGAGGCAAGUGGAAUUCCCAGUGUAGCGGUGAAAUGCGUAGAUAUUGGGAAGAACACCGGUGGCGAAGGCGACUUGCUGGGCAGCAACUGACGCUGAGGCGCGAAAGCCAGGGGAGCAAACGGGAUUAGAUACCCUUGUAGUCC